rnacentral:rRNA from 1 species
UACGUAGGGGGCAAGCGUUGUCCGGAUUUAUUGGGCGUAAAGAGCGUGUAGGCGGCCAGACAAGUCUGCUGUGAAAACUCGAGGCUCAACCUCGAGCUGUCGGUGGAAACUGUCUGGCUAGAGUCCGGAAGAGGAGAGUGGAAUUCCUGGUGUAGCGGUGAAAUGCGUAGAUAUCUGGAGGAACACCGGUGGCGAAGGCGGCAUCCUGGACCGGCAUUGACGCUGAGGCGCGAAAGCCAGGGGAGCAAACGGG